GGCAGUCUUUGAUUGUCCGAGUUGUAGUUUAGAGAGGUGCUUUCCGCGCUGGACCGUGUACAAGUCCUCUGGGAUGAGGCGUCAUAGAGGGUGAGAAUCCCGUCCAUGACACGGACUACCAGUGCUAUGUGAUGCGCCUUCAAAGAGUCGAGUUGUUUGGGAAUGCAGCUCAAAAUGGGUGGUAAACUCCAUCUAAAGCUAAAUAUUGGCGAGAGACCGAUAGCGAACAAGUACCGUGAGGGAAAGAUGAAAAGAACUUUGGAAAGAGAGUUAAACAGUGCGUGAAAUUGCUGAAAGGGAAACGCUUGAAGUCAGUCGCGUUCGGCGGGACUCAGCCUUGCUUCUGCUUGGUGCACUUCCUGUCGGACGGGUCAGCAUCGAUUUUGACCGCUGGACAAUGGAGGGAGGAAUGUGGCACCCUCGGGUGUGUUAUAGCCUCUCUUCGUAUACAGUGAUUGGGAUCGAGGUCUGCAGCGCGCCUAUGGUCGGGGUUCGCCCACGUAUCGCGCUUAGGAUGCUGGCGUAAUGGCUUUAAACGACCCGUCUUGAAACACGGACCAAGGAGUCCAACAUGCAUGCGAGUGUUAGAGUGGUAAACUCUUGCGCGUAAUGAAAGUGAAAAGUUGGGACUCUCGUCACUGGGAGGNACCGACGCCCGAUCCUGACCUUCUGCGACGGAUUUGAGGUAGAGCAUGUAUGCUGGGACCCGAAAGAUGGUGAACUAUGCCUGAAUAGGGUGAAGCCAGAGGAAACUCUG
rnacentral:rRNA from 1 species